CUUCAUUAUUUAAUUCUCACAUACUUCCUCCAUUCCGUUUUAAAUGAAACAUUAGGUGAAAUGAUACUAUUCAUUGAUCAAUUUUGACUCCAAUUAAUCACCAUUAUAUAAAGAAAAACAUAGUCAAGUAAGAUCUUUUUGAAUUCGUCUCGAUGUAUACUAUCAAAUUACUUUUUUAUAUCUUUUUACGUGUGCACAACUAAAUAUAUUAAUGAUUAAAGAAUCGCGCUGGGUUGCGUGAAAAAGCAAACGUUUCAUUUAAAACCUAACGAGGGAAGUAUAAUAUUAUCUCGAAACUUUUUUGUUUCCCCGAUUUUUAAUUACGUUACCUACUUCUUUGGAUACAAAAUUUGGGAGAUAUAAGUAUGUGAGUCGUACAAAGAAAGAGAAUACAUUAAGUUAUUGGUAGAUGUGAUGAAGUUAAUGUGUUUUUUUACGAUUGGGGAAAAGGAAAGUAAAAGAGAGAAAUGAAAUCAAAUAGUCAAUCAUGAACAAGUUUGGAUACAAAGUUUAGCCAAAUCAUGUGUUUUUUAGACUUGUUAAAAUUGAAGUUGUUGGCAAAGAAAAGUAGUUUUAGAAAAUAAAGGUAAUAUAAAAAUUUUGUGGGACCAUUUUUCAGAAACAAAAAAAAAACGAAGUGAGUAAACUAAUAAGUGACAAAUCAAAUAAUAAAGUGGGUAAACUAAUAAAACUAGAAGAAGUAGUCAUGAUCUCAUGCCCUAAGCAACUGAAAUUUUUUGUGAGUUGUAAAUUAAGCAACUUAUGAAAAUAUUUAUCCGGCGAAAAGAACUUGUGCCACAAAUAAGCUACAAGUAAAAGAUUUUGUCAACACCUAAUUACAAUUAUAUAUAGGAGCGUAAAUUGAAUGGAUUGGAUUGGACCUGUCAAAUCUAAACCCAUUCCAAAUAUUUUUGAACUUGAGAAUUAAAUUGAGUACAAAUGUGAUUCGAACUUUAUGUCGAGUCAAAUUGUCCAAACCAAUUUCUUUUUUAUAGCCCAAAUUCAGUCCAGUCCAGUUCAAAUUAUACAUAAUCUUUUUCACCAAUAACACUAUUCUAAAUAAUUGACUUCAUCUAUGUAAAAGAUUUCAAAAAUCUAUAAUAACAUGCAAAAUUACAAAAUAGAAGACACGAGUCCCAAAAUAACAAUAAAAAAAUAUCUUAACACUCUGCAAAAUGAAAGCACCCAUCUGAAGUACUCCACUUACACACAAAAUAGCCCCUUACGGUGAUCUUAGACAAUUUAAGGUUAGAACUUUAUGUAACAAAGACUAUAUAUACAAGUACGUAUACAAAUACAUAUAUGUAUAUAUAUACAUAAUAUGGACUGGAUUGCUUACUGUUUCGGGUAAAAACUUGUAUUAUGUGGGAUGGAUCGAGAUUAGGAUUAAUGAGGGCCGGAUGCUCGGAGAGUGCUGGGAGACCUGCACAGGACGAGAGUUAGACUACCCCGGGGGUGGAUCUGGGAUCGCCCUUCCGACGAUCAUGUCAGUUGAUGUGUAUUAAUUGGGAUUUGUGGAGUGCAUUUUCUAGAAUUCCUUACAUCAAUAAAUCGGGAUCUGCCCAGUAUUUAUAGGUGUUGAAAUGUGUGAAGAUUGUCUCUGCCAUGCUCGCACAUAAUUUAAGGCUGGUGGGUCCCACUAGAGGACUUCCACGCUGGCAGCAAGCCCUGGAGCCUUGGAGCAUGUAGUGGCCCACCAGGCAAUAUUGGGCCCAAACAUUAACCCCACGCAAAAUAUGUGUGAAGGACCACCGUCGAUGCCACGUGUUUCGCGAAAAUUAACCGGACGCCCUUCAUGGCCAGGUUGUUGCAUGUUCCGUUGGGGUGGAAAGGGCCUGGUUCGAGGCCACCCAGGGGCCAACGUGCCCUAGGUAACUCGAUGAGGUUAAGAGACCUCGCUCGAGAUUGCCCAGGGGCCAAAGAGCCACAGGUAACUCGAGGAAGUUAAGAGACGUCGCUUGAGAUUACCCAGGGGCUAAUGAGCCCCAAGUAACUCGAGGAAGUUAAGAGACCUCGCUUCGAGGUUACCCAAGAGCCAAUGAGCCCCAGGUAACUCGAGGAAAUUAAGAGACCUCGCUCGAGAUUACCCAGGGGCCAAUAUGAUCCCCAGGUAACUCGAGGAAGUUCAGAGACCUCGCUCGAGAUCACCCAGGGGCUAAUGAGCCCUGAAUUACUCGAGGAAGUUAAGAGACCUCGCUCGAGAUUACCCAGGGGCCAAUAAGCCCCAGGUUACUAAAGGAAGUCAAGAGACCUCGCUCGAGAUUACCUAGGGGCCAAUGAGCCCCAGGUAACUCGAGGAAGUCAAAAGACCUCGCUCGAGGUUACCUAGGAGUCAAUGAGCCCCAGGUAACUCGAGGAAGUCAAGAGACCUCGCUCAAGGUUACCCAGGGGCCAAUGAGCCCCUGGUAACUGGAGGAACUCAAGAGACCUCGCUCGAGGUUACCUACGGGCCAAUGAGCCCCAGGUAACUCAAGGAACUUAAGAGACCUAGCUUGAGGUUACCCAGGGGCCAAUGAGCCCCAGGUAACUCGAGGAAGUUAAGAGACCUCGCUCGAGAUUACCAGGGGCCAAUGAGCCCCAGGUAACUCGAGGAAGUCAAGAGACCUCGCUCGAGGUUACCUAAGGGCCAAUGAUCCCCAGGUAAAUCGAGGAAGUUAAGAGACCUCGCUCGAGAUUACCCAGGGGCCAAUGAGCCCCAGGUAACUCGAGGAAGUUAAAAGACCUUGCUCGAGAUUACCCAGGGGCUAAUGAGCUUCAGGUAACUCGAGGAACUUAAGAGAUCUCGCUCGAUAUUACUCAGGGGCCAUUGAGCCCCAGGUAACUCGAGAAAGUUAAGAGACUUUGUUCGAGGUUACCUAGAGGCAAAAUGAGCCCAAGUUAACUCGAGGAAGUCAAAAGACCUGGCUCGAGGUUACCCAGGGGCCAAUGAGCCCCAGGUAACUCGGGGAAGUCAAGAGACCCUGCUCGAGGUUACCUAGGGGCCAAUGAGCCCCAGGUAACUCGGGGAAGUUAAGAGACUUCGCUCUAGGUUACCCAGUGGCCAAUGAGCCCCAUGUAACUCGAGGAAGUCAAGAGACCUCGCUCGAGGUUACUCAGGGGCCAAUGAGCCCCAGGUAACUCGAGGAAGUUAAGAGACCUCGCUCGAGAUUACCCAGGGGCCAAUGAGCCCAAGGUAACUCGAGGAAGUUCUGAGACCUCGCCCGUGGUUACUUGGGAGCUGAUAGGUCCUAGGUAACUCGGGGAGGCGACCUCGCUCGAGGUUACCCAGGGGCCCCUGGUCCACUCGAGGGGUAUGACACCGUAGCGCUUGACGGGUGUAGAUCUGCGGCUGUGGCCGAGAUAUCCCUCACUCGAUCUGGGUGAGGUGCCUAGAAGUAGGUCUUCGGCCUCCAUCUGGGCAUGGAUUGCCUAGGGAGUUAGAGCUCCGGUGAGGAGAGGUUUUCAUGAUGGUGCAGCCGCACUCCAACACUGGAUUCAGCUAAGUCAAGCCUUGUGGGAGCUAGGGGAGACUGGACCAAGAGGGUGGCGUUUAUUGGGCUUUUUAAUAGGCCCAAUGACGUGGCAUCCUAGGGUGUCCUUGAGCCCGUCGGGAUACCAACCGUCCUUUUCAGGCAAUAUACAUAAACGAGGGUAAGUACUUUAUUUUGUCUCAUUUGUGUGCUCUGAUCCUUUUGAGAUUUCGCCUUUCUUUGUACGAUCUCGAGAACCCUGAAGGUCGGUUGAUUUUCUUCGAGUCGGGGACAUAUCUCGAGAGUAUGUACUUCCUUAUUUAAGGUACAAUCUUCUUUCCUUUGCUUUUGUUUUCUUUCUUAUGGACCUUUCUGGAUGAAGCUCCUUGUUGGAUGAUACUGGGAGCACCACAUCUAGCUCGUGGACUCCACCCCCCCUGUUAGCUACCUUAUUCGAUGGCUUUUUGAUUGAAGGAGUCCCCGUGGUGUCAGCGGCCUUUGAGUGCCCGGUACCUACUCAGGUCCUCGAUGCUCUUCCGUACUCAAGUGACGGUGCGUCCAUAGUUUCCGAUGGAGUGAAGGAGUUAAAUAACCCCCUCACUCCGUUACCAUUGCUCGCCCCGAGCCGUUAGGAGUUACUUAGAUGACCUUCUCGAUAACCAGGUUGUUUGAGUGAUGGAGGGGACUAGUGAGGGCAACUCUCUCACCGCGAGCAUGAGCGACCGAGACUAGGAGGCGAUGGACCUUCCCAGAGGCAUAACCCAUUUCCAUCUUCGAGGGCCGUUUAUGGACUUCAUAUUCUUCGAGAGCUCUUUCUUCAUCAAACAUUCCUAUGCCCUUUACAUACCGGAGCCCACAGAGACUGUCUGCACCCCACCGAUGGGUUGCAUCGCGCUGUAUAAUGUGCACCUCGAACAAGGGCUGAGAUUUCCUUUGGACCCUUUUAUAGUCGAGGUGUUGUCCUUCUACGGCCUGGCCCUAUGUCAGCUGAUGCCCAACAGUGUGGGCUCGAUUGUGGGGUUUUUGGCUAUUUGUGAGAUGAUGGACGUCCAACCUUCCUUAGUCUCCGGAGGAAUAUGAUGAAGCUCGUCAUCAUGUCCGCUUCCUCGAAUGGAGAAGGUUGGUGGAGCUUCCAGGUUCGCUACCCUUACAAGGUUGUUGGGGCCAUGCCCACGAACCAACAGUUCUUCCAUACUGAAUUUGUGUACGUGUAUCGAGCUGAACAGUGGGACUUCCCUAUAGUCCCUCUACUCGAAGGCCCCAAUUUAUGGUUGAACAGAUUUGUGCCUCGAAUGACUGAGGACGAGGCUAGGGUAGCCAUUUACUGUCAAUGUGUUACCAUAGUCGAGAGGGGUGACAGGAAGCAAGCUCCUCAGUUUUGGAAUCCCGCUGCGGAGGAUCUGAGCAACGAGCAUUUCUUGUCAGCGAUGGGAUUGAUCCCGGCCUAUCCCCAGGUUAUAGCUCGUCGAGAGCUAAGUGACGAGAUGCAUAAGAGAUUAAGUACCAAUCAGAGGGUUCAGGAACAGCUCAAGUUGAAGGUAUCGGAGGGCGAUACCAAGGUUCCUCGAGCCCCAAAGGUAAACUUUACUUCUAUAAGCGAUCGCGUUUUGUACACUUAAUUCCUCCUAACUUCUUCCCUUUUUUCAGGAUCCCUCGAAGAGGCCGAAGGUCCGCCCCCCUUCCAAGUCGGCUAUUGUUACCCCCCGAAGGGGAGGACGAUAGGAGGGAUGUGGUCGCGGAGGUCCUUCCUCGAUCGACAGGGGAUACCCCGAAAUCUAAGGGGAAGUCAGUUGAGACAGCAGAAGAGUUUCCUUUCUCGAAGAAGAGGAAGGCGUCGGAGCCCGAGGCUGACACUCGGGACUUCACACAGAAGUCUACCCUCGAGAAGGCCGCUCUUUUUGACUCGGUGAUUAAGAGAUUUAUCUCGAAGCCAAACCUGAAAGUCGUCCGGGAUCUCACCGAGGAGGAAGCGGUCGAGCAGCUCCACUCCUCCUGGAUUGACCACUCGAUUCGUAUGGCGAUAAUGAGCCAUCGACAUACCGCGGGCUUUCGCAAGCUUCGACCGGGAUUGAAGAAACAAACUGAGCCGGCCGUCGAACGGGGCAAAGAGAUCGAGGGGAUCAACAAAGGAUUCGAGGAGGAGUGGGAGCUUUGGGCAAAGGAUAAGGCCGUUUUUUAGCAGAGGAUCCAAUAUCUAACGAGCCAAUGGGACAGUGUACUGCGCAAUCGGGACGAGAUCAUCGAGGAGUGGAAGACCUCGAAGGCCGGUCUGGAGUUUGCAGCGGACAUGGGCUUGGAGGCAUCCGAGGUGGCUGCUCAAGAGGCCGUGGAGAGGUUCCAAGAUGCCUUUAGCAGGGUAUACCCCCAGGCUGACUGGUCUUCGGUCGAGGUGGAAUACAAUGCCUCUAUUAACGCAGCCUUUCACGAGGGUGGUGAUUCCGACCCCGCACUCGAGGUAGAUGACGCCAUCGACAUCGGGGAUAUUCUUGGGGAGGAACUCCAGCAGGUCGAAGACCCCUUAGCCUCUGGGGCGCCCACUGUUCAAGGAGAGGAAGCACAUGAGGAGAGCUCGAAUGAUCGAGCGGACUCGAGUGACAGCUCUUCUGAGACGGGGGACGUCGAGGCGGUGUCUGAGACCUCGGAGAGUGACGCCUCGAGCAGUUCUACCUAGCCUCUUGUAUUUAACAGCUCUUUUGCUUUUUGCUUUAUUUGUACUUAGUUGUGCCCUGCGUCUCAUUUAGGUUGCUGUUUUUUGGUAGAAAUGAAGAUUCAUUUUUAGCCGAACCCUGAGUGGUUUUUAGGAUGUACUUUGCACUUAAUGGAAAUGAAGAUUCAUUUUUUGCUCAUCUCCUUGUGUCUUGGUUUUAUACCGUUCGAUGUUGUACGCCUGUCGAGAUUUGAGAGCCUUUAUGGUCGAACCAGGAGAGCAACGAACAGUGCGAGCGUGGGGCGCGUGAGGCCUUCUUCAAGGCCCUGCCACGUGGGAGGCCAUUAGGGGUGAGCAAUUAAUGCCUUUUUGGGAAAUUGCAAUCGGUUCUGCCUAUAAGUACUAACAAUUAGCCCUGCAGAUUUCAUAACUAUGUCUUCUUUUCUUCCCUCUCUAAACUUGAUCUCUAUUUCUUUGUUAACUUCGAGUGGCCAAACGCCCUUCGAGUGGCCAAACGCCGAAGGCUGGCCAAGGCCGGCUUGAGCUCGUCCUCGACCUCGGGGGUGGCCACGGGGGCCCCUUCGGUGAAACUCGAGCUUGAUCCCCGCGUCGAGGAGGGGAAGCAGCUUCCUUCUUUCUUGGCUCCUAAGCCCGAGCCAAAGGAGGUUAAGGCCGAGGCCCCAGCUUCGGUCAAAAUCGAAGAUCCUCCUGCCCCUUCAGCACCUGUUACCUCGAGUGCUGUCGUAGUCGCGACGGCCUCGAAGAGGAAGCCUUGGCCUGAAGAGGCUAUGAGGUUAUCCUUUUCUGCCCUUUCGAGGGCCAAAAUGGCUGCUAGGUUUGACAAAGCCUCAAAGCAUCUGGUGACAGAGCUGGAAGAAAGGGCGUGCCUGAAGCCCAAUGGUCAGGAAGUCGAGGCCGUUAAGGCGACCAUGACUAAGCUGUCGAUCAAGGUGCUAGCCCUGGCUCGAAGGUCUGUUCCCAGGAUAGCUGCUGGGGCCGUCUCGGGAGAGAUGUCUUGGGACGAGAGAAACACUCUCGUCAAUCGACUGCGGCUGAUCGAGAUGCGACUCUCGGAAGCCCAGAACUCAAUGGCCAGUUCCCUGAAGGCUUUCAAGGAGAAGAAAGGGAAGCUCGAGCAGUCAAGGCUCGGGUGUGCCGGUAGGUAGUGGUCCAGGACUGCGAGGACUCCGACGAGGGGAGAGCCUUCCUCGAGGACGCCUCUCUGCAAGCCUCUGAGAUAGGUCAGGCCGAGGCUCUCCGCAAGGUGCGAUUGGUCCUCGAGAGGCUUGCCCCCGGUCUUUCCUGAACCGACGUCGAGGAAGGUGUCAAGGUACUUUCCCAGGAGGAAGGGUCUGCUGAGGCAGGCCAGGUUGAGGACCAAGUUCCUCCCCCCGCCAAUCUCGAGGGGUGAACCGUGGCUCCUCUCCCCUUUUUCACGGCUUCAGCAACUCGAGGAGUGGACCGUGGCCCUUCUUUUUUUUUCCACGGCUUUAGCAGCUCGAGGGGCGAACCGUGGCCCUUCUCCUUUUCUUCAUGCCCUUCCUUUUUCCUUAUCUUCUUUCUAGGCUUUUCUUAUGUCUCCUACUAGGGUAAACAUUGUACCCUUAGGCUUCCUUGUUUGAUCUAAUUUUUUCUUUGAACUUGUAUUGUAGCGACUUCGAUAGCUUGUACUAUGAUUAAUGGAAUAAAACUUCCGAGUAUUUGUUGCUCAUUUUAUUUGUU